rnacentral:rRNA from 1 species
GACCUCGGCGACGGCGUCUCAGCCUCGAGCGUAGUAGUAACAUAUCUCGCUUUGGAGCGCUGGACGACGGCCGCCGGACAAUCGACCUUCGGUCUAUUUUUUCCAAAGGUUGACCUCGGAUCAGGUAGGGAUACCCGCUGAACUUAAGCAUAUC